UGAGGAAUAUUGGUCAAUGGGCGGAAGCCUGAACCAGCCAAGUCGCGUGAGGGAAGACGGUCCUAUGGAUUGUAAACCUCUUUUGUCGGGGAGCAAAGCCGCUCACGUGUGACGCGGAAGGAGAGUACCCGAAGAAAAACGCAUCGGCUAACUCCGUGCC
rnacentral:rRNA from 1 species